UACGUAGGGAGCAAGCGUUGUUCGGAUUUACUGGGCGUAAAGGGCGCGUAGGCGGCAGAUUAAGUCAGCUGUGAAAUCUCCGAGCUUAACUCGGAACUGUCAGCUGAUACUGUUUUGCUAGAGUGCGGAAGGGGCAAUCGGAAUUCUUGGUGUAGCGGUGAAAUGCGUAGAUAUCAAGAGGAACACCUGAGGUGAAGACGGGUUGCUGGGCCGACACCGACGCUGAGUGCGCGAAAGCCAGGGGAGCAAACGGG
rnacentral:rRNA from 1 species